rnacentral:rRNA from 1 species
AUGUCACUGCAAAAUGCUGCCCGCUUGGCUUGUGCAUCACACACAUUUCGGAGAUCAUGGAGAUGCUAUCCCAACCUUGACUUACGUCAGAGAACACUAGGUUUGAAUGGAGAUCACAUCAGCAAAGUUGACCAUAUUCUGCAAAAUCACUCAGGCGUUGGCAUGAAGAAACUAAGGAUUGAACUUUUUGACUGUGACAAGGUUGAUUCUUGUUAUAUCAGUAGCUGGCUUCGUAUUGCUGUUACAGCAGGAAUUGAAGAACUCACCCUUUAUCUGCCCGCUACCCGAGGACGAAGCAUACUACAGUUUCCCAUACUCGCUUUUAUUUAA